CUAUAUAACAGGCAAACUAUGCGAAAGCAUGGGACGCAAAGCCACGGGUCUAAAGCAUUUGCAUGAUAGCCGGGCUGCAGAU
rnacentral:ncRNA from 1 species